GCCCUGAUGGUCUAGCGGUAUGGUUCUCCCUAAGGGUGUCUAACGAUGAUUCAGCUUGGGAGAGGUCCCAGGUUCGAUCCCUGGUUAGGGCC
rnacentral:tRNA from 1 species